UACGUAGGUGGCAAGCGUUGUCCGGAUUUAUUGGGCGUAAAGGGAGCGCAGGCGGUGACUUAAGUCUGAUGUGAAAGCCCACGGCUCAACCGCGGAAGGUCAUUGGAAACUGGGUCACUUGAAUAUAGAAGAGGAAAGUGGAAUUCCAUGUGUAGCGGUGAAAUGCGUAGAUAUAUGGAGGAACACCAGUGGCGAAGGCGACUUUCUGGUCUAUUAUUGACGCUGAGGCUCGAAAGCAUGGGUAGCAAACAGGAUUAGAUACCCCU
rnacentral:rRNA from 1 species